rnacentral:rRNA from 1 species
GAAGCCCAGCUUGCUGGGUGGAUUAGUGGCGAACGGGUGAGUAACACGUGAGUAACCUGCCCCCGACUCUGGGAUAAGCCCGGGAAACUGGGUCUAAUACCGGAUAUUACCUUUGACCGCAUGGUUGUUGGUGGAAAGAUUUAUCGGUGGGGGAUGGACUCGCGGCCUAUCAGCUUGUUGGUGAGGUAAUGGCUCACCAAGGCGACGACGGGUAGCCGGCCUGAGAGGGUGACCGGCCACACUGGGACUGAGACACGGCCCAGACUCCUACGGGAGGCAGCAGUGGGGAAUAUUGCACAAUGGGCGAAAGCCUGAUGCAGCGACGCCGCGUGAGGGAUGACGGCCUUCGGGUUGUAAACCUCUUUCAGUAGGGAAGAAGCGAAAGUGACGGUACCUGCAGAAGAAGCGCCGGCUAACUACGUGCCAGCAGCCGCGGUAAUACGUAGGGCGCAAGCGUUAUCCGGAUUUAUUGGGCGUAAAGAGCUCGUAGGCGGUUUGUCGCGUCUGCCGUGAAAGUCCGAGGCUCAACCUCGGAUCUGCGGUGGGUACGGGCAGACUAGAGUGAUGUAGGGGAGACUGGAAUUCCUGGUGUAGCGGUGAAAUGCGCAGAUAUCAGGAGGAACACCGAUGGCGAAGGCAGGUCUCUGGGCAUUUACUGACGCUGAGGAGCGAAAGCAUGGGGAGCGAACAGGAUUAGAUACCCUGGUAGUCCAUGCCGUAAACGUUGGGCACUAGGUGUGGGGGACAUUCCACGUUUUCCGCGCCGUAGCUAACGCAUUAAGUGCCCCGCCUGGGGAGUACGGCCGCAAGGCUAAAACUCAAAGGAAUUGACGGGGGCCCGCACAAGCGGCGGAGCAUGCGGAUUAAUUCGAUGCAACGCGAAGAACCUUACCAAGGCUUGACAUGUGCCAGACCGCCUCAGAGAUGGGGUUUCCCUUCGGGGCUGGUUCACAGGUGGUGCAUGGUUGUCGUCAGCUCGUGUCGUGAGAUGUUGGGUUAAGUCCCGCAACGAGCGCAACCCUCGUUCCAUGUUGCCAGCACGUAAAGGUGGGGACUCAUGGGAGACUGCCGGGGUCAACUCGGAGGAAGGUGGGGAUGACGUCAAAUCAUCAUGCCCCUUAUGUCUUGGGCUUCACGCAUGCUACAAUGGCCGGUACAAUGGGUUGCGAUACUGUGAGGUGGAGCUAAUCCCUAAAAGCCGGUCUCAGUUCGGAUUGGGGUCUGCAACUCGACCCCAUGAAGUCGGAGUCGCUAGUAAUCGCAGAUCAGCAACGCUGCGGUGAAUACGUUCCCGGGCCUUGUACACACCGCCCGUCAAGUCACGAAAGUUGGUAACACCCGAAGCCGAUGGCCUAACCAC